CUUUGGUCUUAAACCAAAGCCUAUUGAAGACAAUGGAAAGAUUUCCCUUGACUUCAGUGGACUUUGGAUCAAGCCCUU
rnacentral:miRNA from 1 species